rnacentral:rRNA from 1 species
CGACCAAGGAGUUUAUCGUGUACGCAAGUCAUUGGGUGAAUAAAACCCAAAGGCGAAAUGAAAGUAAAUAGUAGUUGUAUAAUUUGAAAAAGAUUAAGGAAAGCAAUUUCUUUUAAUUUUGUUUCUAUAUUGUACUCUACUUUAGGGAAGAUAGAAAUUUUAUAUUUUAAUAUAGAUUUCUCGCAUUCCCGGGGCGCUUGUUUCACGCAUUGCGUGUCAAUGCGCACCUAGAGCGUACACGCUGAUACCCGAAAGAUGGUGAACUAUGCCUGGCCAGGACGAAGCCAGGGGAAACCCUGGUGGAGGUCCGCAGCGAUUCUGACGUGCAAAUCGAUCGUCGGAGCUGGGUAUAGGGGCGAAAGACCAAUCGAACCAUCUAGUAGCUGGUUCCCUCUGAAGUUUCCCUCAGGAUAGCUUGCGCUCGGUUGAGAAGAGUCUCAUCCGGUAGAGCGAAUGAUUAGAGGCAUUGGGGUCGAAACGACCUCAACCUAUUCUCAAACUCCAAAUAGAUGAGACCCCCGGCUUUCUUAAAAUUGAAGCCGUGGGAUUUUGAUCAGAGUGCCAAGUGGGCCAAUUUUGGUAAGCAG